AAGUCGUAACAAGGUUUCCGUAGGUGAACCUGCGGAAGGAUCAUUACCAAAACAGGUCUUUGACCUUUACCCCUUGUGCAUUGUAAACUGUCCUUGUGAGGUUUUUCAUGAUGGCAAUUACCUGCCAACUUGUUAGCCUCACAUUUCCUUAUGCUUUACCCCAAGACCAACUUUGUGAUGGUGGAUUUUUUUUCAAAAAAAACAAAAGACAACUUUUAACGGUGGAUCUCUUGGCUCAU
rnacentral:misc_RNA from 1 species